CCUACGGGAGGCAGCAGUGGGGAAUAUUGCACAAUGGGGGAAACCCUGAUGCAGCGACGCCGCGUGAGUGAAGAAGUAUUUCGGUAUGUAAAGCUCUAUCAGCAGGGAAGAAAAUGACGGUACCUGACCAAGAAGCCCCGGCUAACUACGUGCCAGCAGCCGCGGUAAUACGUAGGGGGCAAGCGUUAUCCGGAUUUACUGGGUGUAAAGGGAGCGUAGACGGCUAUGUAAGUCUGGAGUGAAAGCCCGGGGCUCAACCCCGGGACUGCUUUGGAAACUGUGUAACUGGAGUACAGGAGGGGUAGGCGGAAUUCCUGGUGUAGCGGUGAAAUGCGUAGAUAUCAGGAGGAACACCGGUGGCGAAGGCGGCUUGCUGGACUGAAACUGACGUUGAGGCUCGAAAGCGUGGGGAGCAAACAGGAUUAGAUACCCCUGUAGUC
rnacentral:rRNA from 1 species